UGUCUAGGAGGAAAUCAGAAUUUCAGUGG
rnacentral:piRNA from 1 species